rnacentral:rRNA from 1 species
UACGUAGGGAGCGAGCGUUGUCCGGAUUCAUUGGGCGUAAAGAGCUCGUAGGCGGCUUGGUAAGUCGGAUGUGAAACCUCCAGGCUCAACCUGGAGUCGCCAUCCGAUACUGCCAUGGCUAGAGUCCGGUAGGGGCCCACGGAAUUCCUGGUGUAGCGGUGAAAUGCGCAGAUAUCGGGAGGAACACCGGUGGCGAAGGCGGUUCUCUGGGCCUGUACUGACGCUGAGGAGCGAAAGCGUGGGGAGCGAACAGG